UGGGGAAUAUUGCACAAUGGGGGAAACCCUGAUGCAGCGACGCCGCGUGAGUGAAGAAGUAUUUCGGUAUGUAAAGCUCUAUCAGCAGGGAAGAUGAUGACGGUACCUGACUAAGAAGCCCCGGCUAACUACGUGCCAGCAGCCGCGGUAAUACGUAGGGGGCAAGCGUUAUCCGGAUUUACUGGGUGUAAAGGGAGCGUAGACGGCAUGGCAAGUCUGGAGUGAAAGCCCGGGGCUCAACCGCGGGACUGCUUUGGAAACUGUUAAGCUGGAGUGCAGGAGAGGUAAGUGGAAUUCCUAGUGUAGCGGUGAAAUGCGUAGAUAUUAGGAGGAACACCAGUGGCGAAGGCGGCUUACUGGACUGUAACUGACGUUGAGGCUCGAAAGCGUGGGGAGCAAACAGG
rnacentral:rRNA from 1 species